rnacentral:rRNA from 1 species
AUAAGAUGAACCCGGCUACGGCCGGGAUGUUCAUAACCCUUUGUUGUCCGACUCUGUUGCCUCCGGGGCGACCCUGCCUUCGGGCGGGGGCUCCGGGUGGACACUUCAAACUCUUGCGUAACUUUGCAGUCUGAGUAAACUUAAUUAAUAAAUUAAAACUUUUAACAACGGAUCUCUUGGUUCUGGCAUCGAUGAAGAACGCAGCGAAAUGCGAUAAGUAAUGUGAAUUGCAGAAUUCAGUGAAUCAUCGAAUCUUUGAACGCACAUUGCGCCCCCUGGUAUUCCGGGGGGCAUGCCUGUUCGAGCGUCAUUUCACCACUCAAGCCUCGCUUGGUAUUGGGCAACGCGGUCCGCCGCGUGCCUCAAAUCGUCCGGCUGGGUCUUCUGUCCCCUAAGCGUUGUGGAAACUAUUCGCUAAAGGGUGUUCGGGAGGCUACGCCGUAAAACAACCCCAUUUCUAAGGUUGACCUCGGAUCAGGUAGGGAUACCCGCUGAACUUAAGCAUAUCAAUAAGCGGAGGAA